rnacentral:tRNA from 2 species
GCGCCCGUAGUGUAAUGGAUAUCACGUUAGAUUCCGGUUCUGGAGAUGAGGGUUCGAUUCCCCCCGGGCGCA